rnacentral:rRNA from 1 species
ACUCCUACGGGAGGCAGCAGUGGGGAAUCUUGGACAAUGGGGGCGAACCCUGAUCCAGCCAUGCCGCGUGAGUGAUGAAGGCCUUAGGGUCGUAAAGCUCUUUCGCCUGUGAAGAUAAUGACGGUAGCAGGUAAAGAAACCCCGGCUAACUCCGUGCCAGCAGCCGCGGUAAUACGGAGGGGGUUAGCGUUGUUCGGAAUUACUGGGGCGUAAAGCGCACGUAGGCGGAUCGGAAAGUUGGGGGUGAAAUCCCGGGGGCUCAACCCCGGAACUGCCUCCAAAACUAUCGGUCUAGAGUUCGAGAGAGGUGAGUGGAAUUCCGAGUGUAGAGGUGAAAUUCGUAGAUAUUCGGAGGAACACCAGUGGCGAAGGCGGCUCACUGGCUCGAUACUGACGCUGAGGUGCGAAAGUGUGGGGAGCAAACAGGAUUAGAUACCCUGGUAGGAUAGCG